rnacentral:tRNA from 2 species
GGUCCAAUGGUCUAGAGGUAUGAUUCUCGCUUAGGGUGCGAGAGGCCCCGCGUUCGACUCGCGGUUGGACCC